UUUAUUUUUAAAAUGUAAAAGAAUUAAUUCAUUAAUGGAACUAAAUCUUUGGAAACUAAUUAAAUUUUGAAAUGAUAAAGACCUAUUAGUAAUCAUGAUAUAACUUCAGGGGGUUUAAUGUAAUUCACCCCACGUUAUAAACCUGAAAAGACUAUGGACCAUGGGAUAAACAUAACAUCAAAAUUUAUAGACCCACUCUCUGUCUCUCUCUACUCAUCGUCUGAUUCCAUCAUUCAUUGUCCUAAAAGAAAAAAAGAAAUCCAAAACCAGAACCUUAUGUAAUUAAUAAUAAUAAAUAUAAUAAAUUAUUUCUUUUCUCGAAAUUAUAAUAUAAAUAUCCAUUACUAAUCCAUACCAAUUCUAAUCCCACCACUCUCCCCAUCUCUCUUAAAGAAACUAAUAAAUAUAAAAAGAUCCAAAUCAAAUGCUGCAAAUAUUCUUCGCGGUGGCGUUCUCGGCGGUGCCAUUGACACUGUACGUACCGCCGAUUCGGUCCCUAAACUUAUUCUUAGAAACCAUAGAAGAAUUGCUCCGACAGUCGACCUCUUACACUAUUCAAGCCUAUCCUCGCAUACGCCUCGCUUUCUCUCGUCUCUUCUCCAAUCUCUUUCGCUUAUCCUCCUUCGCCAGAUGAUUUUAAUGCUAAAGAUGGGGCUUUGGAAUUUUAGAGAGGCAAGUUUCAUCCUCAUGAUUUGUACCGUAGUUGAUAAGAUUAAGUAAUUAGUGAAUCUUUAAUUAAUUGCUUUUGGGUCUGGUUAUAGAUCAUGACGGUUCUUCACUAUUGAUGAUAAACCCUCCCACCAACAGUUCAGACUUAGAAUUCUGAUCCUGAAUUUUGUUAAGUGAAUGGGGUCAGUGUAGAAGAGGUUUGGCGUUUGGUAUGGAGGCUCACUAGUGUACCUGAAACAUAAGGGUCCACAAUAACAAUUGCCUGCAAAUUGGGUCUGUGAUACAAUAUUGUUAAGUUGUCACUUCUAUUUAUAUAUAUGGUGCCAUUAAAUUCUGCUAGUUUCAAGCUUUAGUAUGAAAUUGGACAUGGUAUUGUUGUCCUAGCAUUAUCCAAUAACUCAGUAUUAGUUGUUUGGUUAUUUCCUUUUCUGCAUUGUAUUUAGUGUUGUGAACUUCUUUAAAAGAGAAUUGAUCAAGUGAUUGAUUAGAGGAA